AGUAUGGGUUGUUAGUUGUUAAAACGAGACGAGACGAGAUAUUUAACGACUAACGGGUUAAUAUCCUAAAUAUCUAACCUACCCUACCCCUAACCACCCCCAAACCUCCCAAAACCCCUUUCCCCUCACUAACUCACGCUAUAUCAGCCCACACCACACACACAACUCACAUAUUCACACACACAACACCUAAAACACACACUACACACGCCAUUUUCCAUUUAAGCUUGGACGGAGCUUUUGACCUCCGAUUUGAGCACCGAGACGAGCGCCGAUCAUCUUUUCGAUCACGUAUCUAAGUAGGUCCUUUUGGGAAGUAACGACUUGAGGGAGAGAGUGACGUUACUCAUUGAUACAGAGACACAACGAGGUUGAACUGAUGUGAUGAUGGUGCUGCAAUGAGCGGAGUCUCCAGGGUUGUUAAUAAAUAGUUAACCUGUCUAGAAUAUGUCUUCAUACAUAUGUCUAGCUACUUUCCGCUGCAAGAUGUUGUUGAUGUUAUAGUAUGUUAUGUCAUACUUUGAGUCUUAAGAGAAUGGUUGCAUAUGAUGUAUAACUUGAUUAAUGAUAUUAAUUAACUUUUAUGCAGUCUUUCAUAGACUGUUUUCAAUUGAGUAUUAAUGAAUAAAAAUGACGAGUUUUAUUAA